CUCUGUCUCUCAAAAUAAUAAGUAAACUUCAAAAAAAAAAUAAAAAAAAAAUUUAGACAUGAUCUCAAAAUACUACUAUAGAAGGUUAGAAUUUAGCUCCCUUGAAGUCUUUUUCUGCAAUAUUUGUUUACUUUCUGUACUGGGUAAAAGUCUUAUUUGCCUCCUCAGUUUCCCGGGUGAUGUCCAGCUCCCAGACUGUGAUACUGCUCCCAGGAGAUAAUCAGUCAUUUGCCCUGGAAUCUUGGGCCCUUCCUCUUGGCUGCCAGAAGCACAGCUGGGCCAACUAACACAAGGUUUAACACUUCUGGCUCUUGUUACCACAUCUGGAUUUAGAUGAAAUUCCAGUGCUCGGAAUGUGAAAUUCAUCUUCCCAAUGGCUGUUGGAGGGACCAGAUAACCCAACUCAGAAAUGAAGGAGAAUUAUAUCUGUGGGUAAAUUUUGACCAAUGAGAGGCCAACAUGUAACAAAUGGCCUUUAUUGCUUACCAUCAUGUUGCAUUGCUUUAUAUACUCCUGUCACUCAUUGACCUGGAUUUGUCCCUCUCCAAUAAAAUCUCAGUAUUAAAAUUUCUUUAAAUAUUUUAUUUAUAUUUGAGAAAGAGAAAGAGAGAGAGAAUGAGGGAAGGGCAGAGAGAGACACAGACAGAAUCUGAAGUAGGCUCCAGGCUCUGAGCUCUCUGCACAGAGCCCGAUGCAAAGCUUGAACUCAUGAGCUGUGAGAUCAUGACCAGAGCUGAAGUUAUACACUUAACCAGCUGAGGCACCCAGGCAUCCCAAGCCUCACUAUUUAAAUUCUUUUGUCAGACCCAGACCCCAUUUUUCCAGAGCAUUCAAGGCUAAGAUACUUUCCUUCCCCAGUGUGUGUGUUUAUGUGUUUGUGUGUGUGUGUGUGUGUGUGUGUGUGUAGACAACUUUUAGUUAAUUCAAUAAUCAGAAUUUAAAUUAUCAUGACUCUAUACGUGCUACAUAUCCCAGCAAAACCAGCAAGAAUGAUUUUACUUUUCUCCCCCUAAAGCUUUCUAUUUUUCCUGGAGUUUAAAAUAACAUAGACUUUUGUUGUUGUUGUUCACUUAAUUUCCUAUGCCAAUAUAGAAAUCUUCCCAAACAUUAAAGUUCCUUUAAUACGAAUAAAAAUGUUAGGUAAUCUAACAGUUCUUUUGUCUUUGAGAUUCCUACUGUAACCUUGUGUUGUCUUGUUCCAAUUUGAACUCGUUGACCUUUAGGCUUGCUGUUCCACACUAUUCUCCAAAUUCUCUUUGCGUGUUUUUGUUUUUUUUUUAUAUUCUUUAUUUCCUGGAUCUAAUGCCUUACUUUUUUUUGGUUUACAACCUCAUGUUGGUGAAGCACAUCCUCCAGUAGCUUCCUAAAAAAAGUACAUGGGAGGUAAUUUAUUUUAAAAUCUUAAAUGCCUGAGAUGGUCUUUUUUAACCUUCAUAUUUACAUAAUAAAUUAUUUGGAUAAGGAAUUUUUGAUUAGAAAUAAAAUUUUAUCAGAAUUUUAAAAACACUCCAUUUUUUUUCUAGUAUAUUGCACCACUUCUGAAAAGUUUAAUGCUAAUCUAAUUCUCAGUUCCUUGUAUAUAAUCAGUUAUUUUCUUACGGGAAGUUUUAGUAUCUUUUUCUAAAUAUCUAACAUUUUGGAUUUCAUAACGUUGUGUCUUAUUGUGGGUCUGAUUUUGUUAAUAAGGUACCAGGUGUCAUUUUGUAAACUGAAGUUCUUUUUAAAAAUUUUUUUAAAACUAUUUAUUUAUUUUUGAGAGAGAGAGACAGAGUGAGUGGGGGAGGGGCAGAGAGAAAAGGAGACACAGAAUCUGAAGCGGGCUCCAGGUUUUGAGAUGUCAGCAUAGAGCCUGACACGGGACUCAAACCCAUGAACUAUGAGAUCAUUACCUGAGCUGAAGUCAGACACUUAACUGACUGAGCCACCCAGGUGUCCCUAUAAACAGGUUCUUAAGUUUUAACAAAUUAUUUCUUGAAUUCUUUCUUUGAAAUAUUUAUGGCUCUUAUUUCUUAGCUAUUUCAUUUAUCAAUAAGUGUCUUUGUGAGGUUUGUGAAUUCUUUUAGGUUCUUGGGGUAUAACUGUGCAAAGACUAAAAACCCUAUUCUCAUGGAGCGUACCUUCUAACAGUAGAGAUAGAUAAGUUAAAUAAGUAAACUAAAAAGUAUGUUAGAUAGUGAUAAAUGCUGAGGAAUAAAAGGCCAAGAAGGGAGUUAUUAUUUGGGGUGUGUGUGAAAUUUGCAAUUUUAGAUAUGGGGUCAGAAAAAGCUUCACUGAGAGAGUGAGGUUUAAGUUAAGACCAGAGGAAUCAAAAAGUUACCUAGGUAGAUCUCUGGGGGAAAAGCCAUUUAGGUAGAAAAAAUAUAAAGUUUGAAGUACAUAUGUAUUUUAGGAAUAGUAAGGAAGCCAGAGUGACCAAACUAAAAGAAGCAAAUAGGAGAGUGGGAGGGAAUGAGGUUAAAAGCAAUUGGGGCCCAAAUUAUGCCUUGUAGGUAGAAAGGAGACCAUUAGAGGGUUUUGAGCAGAGGAAUAACAUUAUCUAACACAUGUCUUAAUGGAAUCACUUUGGCUGGUAUGUUGGGAGUCUGAAAGAGGGCAAAGACAGAAGCAAAUGUACUAUUUCGGAGGCUGUUGCAACAAAUCAAGAAAGAAGUGAUAGUGGCUUGUACCAGAGUAAUGGCAGUGAGGAUUAUGAGAUGUGGUUGAAUUCUUUAUAUGUUUUGAAGGUAGAAGUGUCAUGUUUUGCUGACAGACCAUAUCUGAGGUGUGAGAUAAAAGGAAGGAAGAUGACUCAGGAUUUUGGCAUGAGCCUAAAAAAAGAAGUUGCCAAAAACUGAAAAGGAGAAAAGUACAGGAGGUGAAGAUUGUUUUUAUCUUUAUUUCUGGGAAGAGGGAGGAAAAUAUAAGUUAGAAGUUUGGAAUUAGGCACUGGAAGUAUGAGAUGUCUGUUACAUACCCAAAUAAAGAUGUAAAUUGUGAGUUUGAUAUUUAGCUCUGCAUGUUGAGGUGACAUAUGUGGGUUAGAGAGAUAUAGAUGUAGAAGCCUUCAGCAUUCAGGUGGUCCAUAUGACCAUGAGACAGGACUAGAUAGCCAGGGAGUGGGUGUAGAUUUUACACUGAUUAGAGGGGUGGAAAUCUAAAGGUUGAGUCUGGAGGCCUUGCCCACAUUUAGAGAUCAGGUUGAUGAGUAAGAAACAGGAAAGACAGAGAGGAAGUGGCCAAGGUGUAGGAGGAAAGCAGGUAUGUGUGUAGUUCCACAAGGAAAAGAAAGUUUUCCAAGAAGGUGGGAAUCAUCAACUCUGUCAGGUGUUACUGAUAAACAAAGUGAGAUGAGGACGAACCAGUGAAAUUUUUUUUGGUGAUCUUGAUGAGAAUAGGUAGGUGUAGGGAAGUGGUGAGGUGAAAAUUGGACUGGAGUAGAUUCAGAGAGAGAGGAGGGAAAGAAUUUCAAUUAGUGGGUGAAAAUACAUUUCUUCAGAAGAUUUGCUAAAAAAGGCAAUAAGAGAAAUAAGAUGGUAUCUUCUUAUGAAGAUGGUCCCCAAGGUGAAGAAGGAAAACUCUGCCCCUCCCAAAGCCAAAGCCAAAGCCAAAACCAAAGCCAAGGCUUUGAAAGCUAAAAAAGUGGUACUUAAAAGUGUCCACAGUCACAAAAAAAUAUCCAUAUGUCACCUAUCUUCUGAUGGUCCAAGACACUAUGUCUUUGAAGGCAGCCCAAAUAUCCUCCAAAGAGCAUCCCUAGGAGAAACAAGUUUGACCACUAUGCCAUUGUCAAAUUCCCCUGACUACUGAGUCAGUCAUAAAGAAAAUAGAAGACAACACACUUGUGUUGUCAAGGCCAACAAGCACCAGAUCAAACAGUCUGGGAAGAAGACUGAUGACACUGAUGUGGCCAAGGUCAACACCCUGAUCAGGUUGGAUGGAGAGAAGGCAUAUAUUCGACUGGCUCUUGACUAUGAUGCUUUGGAUGUUGUCAAGAAAAUUGGGAUCAUCUAAACUGAGUCCAGCUGGCUAAAUAUAAAUAUAAAUUUUUUAACCACCCACCCUCCCAAAAGAAGAAA
rnacentral:lncRNA from 1 species